CAACCUGCCUGCCGGCGGCGCCCACCCGGCCGCGGCAGGCGCCUCCGAGCCGGGGCACGGCUCUGCCCCCUGGGCAGGCGGGCGGCCGCCCCGACCCUCGCUCACCGCCUAAGAUACAGCCCUUCGGCAGCGGCCGCGCAGCACACCGGCACGGCGAGGCUCGCCGCCGCUGCGGAGGGCAGGGAGCCCGCCCGGGGCAGGCAAGCCGCGGGCGCUCCAGCCGCCCCGGGCUCUGCCGCAGACACACGCGUUUAUUUUAACAGCCUCUCGCCGCCAGCGCCGUGGGGAAGCGCCUUGCCCGAGAGCGGCCCGUGCCACCGGGAGGUCGCACGGAGAGUGCCCACGGUGACCGAGCAUCGGGCUCCGGGCCAGCGCUCCCCUCGCCGGGGGCGGCCACUGCCGCCACCUCACGCCGGCUAACGGCCGCCCGCAGCUCGCGCCCCCACCUCCCUCACCGCCGCUCACGGGGCCGCCCGCAGCCAAUGAGCGCCCGCAACGUCCGGCGGCGGGGCGGGGCGUGUGGCGGGGCCGGUCUCCCGCAGCCGCCGGAGACCCCGCUGGCCCCAGAGCCGGGGCGACCCCGGGGCGGGGGAGCCUCCGGGGAAAUGGCCUUUGGGAGGCGAGACGCGGUGCCUGCGCUUCCCGGCAGCGUUCCAGUGCGCUCCCGCGGCUGCGAACUAACCGCCGGCUGCCGGAGCCGCCACUGAACCAGGAGCCGGCGCAGGUUCCGCACCGACACACGCCCCCGGUCCUGCUGCUGACAACGGCUUUGGGUCAGCUGGAGUCACAGACUCAUGGAGCGCCGGCUGGAAGGGACCUCAAGGAUCAUCUGGUCCAACCUUUCUUGGCAAAAGCACAGUCCGGACAAGCUGGCCCAGCACCUUGUCCAGCUGAAUCUUAAAAGUGGCCAAUGUUGGGGAAUCCACCACUUCCCUGGGGAGGUAAUUCCAAUGGCUGGUUGUUCUCAUCUUGAAAAAAAUUCCUUUUGUGUCCAAUCGGAAUCUCCCCAGGAGUAACUUCUACCCAUUGCCCCUCAUCUUUUCCAUUUGACUCCUUGUAGAAAAGGAGUCUGCAUCUUCUUCUUUGUAGCCACCCUGUAAAUACUGAAACAUGGUGAUGAGGUCUCCCCUAAGCCUUCUUUUCUCAAGGCUGAGCAAGCCCAGUUCUCUCUUUCUUCACACGGCAGCUUACCAGUCCUUUGAUUAUCUUUGUGGCCCUUCUCUGGACCUUCUCCAGCCUGUGGUGGUUUUGUACAAACCUGAGUGAGGUGUGGGGAACAGCAUUUGUUUUCCUUAGAUCUGCCACGGCUGUUCACCUGGCCGGUUCCCUCGCUUGGGUGUUUCAGCAGCAUGGGGAGCCUUUCUCUGGCUUCACCUGGUUUGGCUUCCCUGUGACACAGGCCGUGCUGGGUUUUUGAAAGCAAGUCCUCAUUUAAUUUUCAAAGCAAAAUAAUUUUCUUUUGGGGAAGCCGUUCAGCCUCAUUUGAAGGCUACCAUAAGGUGAAGUGAUGUCAACUCAUAGCACUUUCACUGUGACACUGGAAGUUGUACAGGCACUGGAGAUUAUUACCUUGGCUCAUAUCAAGAAAAAAAUCUCAGCCUCAUGGAUGAAGAGGAAAAAGCGUACAUAUAAAUCCCGAAAGCAGUAGUUCUUAGGGCAGAUGCCAGAGCAAAUAAAACUGUUAUUUCAGUUUUAGUAGUUAAGAAUUUUAAGUAAUUCCUGCCGCUUUUAGGGACUAAUAACAAUUUAGUGCUUGGGGCUGACAAUACAAGAGCACGGGAUCUAUUAAUAAAUGUCUUUUCAUCCUAGUGUGGUCCUUGGCCCCUGUUGACUUUGGUGGCUUUUGAGUCAGGCUCAUGGGGCUUCACUGUCCUCAAUCUGGGAGGUGCAGGAGAGUCUGAUGAUUUCUUGGGACUCACCUCAAGUGAUACAGGCACAAGCAUCUCACGUGAUCGUAAUUUUGCAAUAACCUAUGACUUCUGUUUCAUAAAAGGCUUCCUCUUGCCAGCAUAUUCAGCACUAAGAGGACUGAACCACAGCUAACAAAGAGUUGCUUGCCCCUUGUUAAGGCUGUGCGCAUGUCUGUCUUUGUUUUCCUGGUUUUCAGGAAGCUGUGUGCCCAGCAUUGUCUGCUUCUCUCCUGCCUUUCACAAGACUUCAGAGGACCAUUUUUGUUGCCACAGAGACCCACCCACAGAAGCUACUGCAACAACGGUCAAUAUUCAAAAUAAUUGUAAAGAAAGUGUUUAUUGACAAUUAUUUUCAAAGUAAAAAGAAAAAAAUGUUCUCUCUGUAACGCUUUUGAAAAUAAAGGUCUUUUUCCAAUUA